rnacentral:rRNA from 1 species
AGUUGGGCACUCUAGAGAGACUGCCAGGGAUAACCUGGAGGAAGGUGGGGAUGACGUCAAAUCAUCAUGCCCCUUAUGCUUAGGGCUACACACGUGCUACAAUGGGUAGUACAGAGGGUUGCCAAGCCGUAAGGUGGAGCUAAUCCCUUAAAGCUACUCUCAGUUCGGAUUGUAGGCUGAAACUCGCCUACAUGAAGCUGGAGUUACUAGUAAUCGCAGAUCAGAAUGCUGCGGGGAAUGCGUUCCCGGGUCUUGUACACACCGCCCGUCACACCACGGGAGUUGGAGACGCCCGAAGCCGAUUAUCUAACCUUUUGGAAGAAGUCGUCGAAGGUGGAAUCAAUAACUGGGGUGAAGUCGUAACAAGGUAGCCGUAUCGGAAGGUGCGGCUGGAUCACCUCCUUUCUAAGGAGA